ACAAGUUUGACCUGAAAACAGUUACAUUGCACUAGAAAAUGGCCGCAAAAUUUAAGGCGCAAAAGAAGUAGAGUUUGAUUUGAGUAAAGUAAAUGUUUGGUUUAACAUGACAUAUCUUUUUUAUUGCUUAAAUCGAUUCAGCUUAGAAUGAACUUUCAGAAAAAGUAUCGUUAUGGUGGUCUCUAUGUUCAAAAUGUUGCAUUUAUUUUCUCUUUAAGUUGUCGCGUUUACAUUGAAUUAUAUAGGGAAAUCAUUAAGUAUAUUGUGGCCUUUAAUAAAUUUAGCUUACACUAACAAGGGAGAGAACUGUCAAUAUGUACCAGCAGUGAGUUGUUGCCAUUAAAUUGUUUCAUAUUUAUUAAUUUGUAAUAUGUCUUACAACUUUUAUGACAUGAUGGUUUACUUUGGAAUUGUUGUCUAGUGUGAAUUUAAACAGAGUUUAACACCAAAGACCUGUAAAGGCAUGGUAAAAAUGGUGUGUGUGUUUUUGUUACUUUGGGAAUACAUAAAUAUGAAGUUGUUGCCUCCCAUUUAUUAUUAUCCCCCGCCAUAGGUGGAGGGAUAUUGUUUUGGCGUUGUCCGUCCGUCCGUCUUUUCGUCCAUCCAUUCGUACGGAGCCAAAUCUUGGAAGUUCUUUAGCGGAUUGCAUCAAGAUGAUUUUCCUUUUGUUUUUGUUGUUAUGCAGGAAAAACUGGCUAAAAACAUCAAUGAGCCACGCUGUGAAAAAAUAGAGCUUAAUGCAUGUGCUUAGAUUGUAGUCCCAGAUUAGCCUGUGCAGUCCACACAGGCUACUUAGGGACAACAAUUACCUCUUUAAAGGAGAGCACCAGCAUUGAUAUCGAGUUGGCCAAGCAACAGCACAAGUCCGGCCUGCAGGAGCCCCAAUACAGAACCAUCCUUUCCCUCCCCUGAUCCCUAGCUCCUCCCACUGGACCUCUGGCCACAAAGGCAAACACUAUAAGCCGCCAAGAUAAAAACAUUGUUGAAGUGAAAGUCGAUGUUAAUCCUGACCCCUUCGCUUAAGUAAUUCAGCACAAAAACGUCUUGCGUCAGAGUAGCAAGCCUCCAAACAUCUUCUCCCAUGUUGGCUUCAUCAACACUUCUUACAGCGGAGCCUUGGCGAGUUCGACUUCCAUCCCAGCAUCGAUGUUGCUUAGCAACAAUUCAAUGCUGGGAAUUGACAAAUUGUUCUAGACGAGUCGCUUACACAGAAACAAUCUGAUCCAACAGAUAGAGCAGGUGUUGCGUGACUUGUCCCUUAUUGCGACUGACCUCGAUAAGUUGCUCUCGAAUAAUGUUAACCUUAUGUUAGUAUGGGAUUUACGCCAUUUAACAACAGUUGUUGUUGAGAAUUCCCGGGUUUGAGGUGGCAACUUUGGCGACGGGACUCGCUCCAUCUCUGUCUAUGGCCCAGUCAAAGCAGCAGCAGCAGCAGCAAUAAGAACAACAAGUAGUAUCUGAGCGGUGCUCUGGAGUACGGGGCUUCAUAGCCUGUUCCUCCUGGUCCAGGACCUUUGGACAAAUGUUCAAAUAGUACUACCCACAGGAUGAAGCCACUCUGAAUCCGGGGCUCCAUACUUUCUUGGCCAGGGGCCAAGACUACCUCAUCAAUAAGCAGAGCACCAGCAUUGAUAUCGAGUUGGCCCAGCAACCGCACCAGUCCCGCCUGCAGGAGCCCCAGUCCAGAACGACCCUUCCCCUCCCUUGACUUCUAGCUCCUCUACCUUGACCGCCUGCCUCAAAAAGUCAGCAUCGUUGAACAACUCCGUUCUGCAGCAAAUUCUGAGCAUGAUUCUGUUCUGAACAAACGCAAUGCCCACGUCACGUUUUCCAAACAUAAGCCUGGGUAGUUUUGUUAAGCUAGAGUUCUGCGUGGGCCUGAAAGGGACGAGUGUUACAGACACAAACAGUUAUAGCAGUAGUUAUGGUAACGCUAACAGUCAGUUGUUGCUGUUGGACAUCACAACAAAUAUCAUGAAGAAUAAAAAUUUCGAUUAGUUGUUCCAAUCUUUAUGGGACAAACAGAAAUUGAACGGAAGAAAAUCAAGGAACAAUAAAAGCGUAAGCUUUCCUAGUGGGAUACAUCUGCUGUUGAUAGUUUGGACAACAGUAGGGUUGCGGACUGCCCCAGAUUGUCCUCUCAGCGGCCAAAAUAUCAUAAUAGAACGGACUUUUGGCAAUGUUACUGACACAGAAAGGCAAUAAUGACUUGGUUAUCAAUACCCAGAGCACGAUACAUCCAUGCUGACAAAGAAAGGCAGUAAUGACUUGGUUGUGAACACCCAGAGCACAAUACAUCCAUGCUGACACAGAAAGGCAGUAAUGACUUGGUUGUGAACACCCAGAGCACAAUACAUCCAUGCUGACACAGAAAGGCAUAAUGACUUUGUUGUAAACACUAAGAGAUCCAUACAUCCAUGGGGUGUGCAACAGACGCAAAUUACGCCCACUAUUUUGAACAAGUGAACUUAACUAGCAAACAUGACAAACGUCAUUGAAGUGAAAGUCGAUGACAACCCCCUUCUUGAACAAAUACUACAAUUGCUUAAGAAAUUCAGCACGAAGACGUCUUGCGUCAGACUACCAAGCCUCCUAUCAAUAUCUUCUCCCAUGUUGGCUACAUCAACACUUCCAACAGCAGAGCCUUGGUGAGUUCGACUUCCGUCUCGGCAUUGAUGUCCCUUAGCAACAAUUGGAUGAUGGGCGUCGACAAAUUAUGCCGGACAAGUCGCUCAAACUGAAAUGAUCUGAUCCAACAGGUAGAGCAGGCAUUGCGUGACACGUCCGUUAAUGUGACUGACCUCGAUAUGUUGUUCUCGAAUAAUGUGAACCUUAGGCCUGGAGAGCAGUAUGCGAUUGACGCCAUUCAACAACAGUUGUUCUUGGCAAUUCUCAGGUUUGGGGUGGCGACUUCAGCGUCAGGACUCGCUCCAUCUCUGUCUAUGGCCCAGUCGCAGCAGCAGCAACAAGAACAAUAAAGCCUGUUCCUACAGGAACCCAUGCAAUCAUAGAUCGGUACCUAGCUGAACAACAGGCUGUCUGGUCAGUGACACUUCCUGGCCCAGGACCUUGGGGCCAAUGCUCAACUAGUCCUACCCGCAGGGUGGAGCCACACUGAACCUGGGGCUCCAUACUUUCUUGGCCAGUGGCCAAGAUAUCCUCGUCAAUUAGGGACACAUUCCUGGGAUGCCCUAAGGUCUUUCUAUCUGUUCACAGAGGUCUUAUACUCACAAGUUCAAGCCCAGUAGCGAUGUCCACAUUAUCAAACUCUGCAUCUCAAUAGAAACCCGGAUAGCAAGGCGUUGAGUUUGUUCUUGAAGCAUUUGCACCAGAAGCAGUCAUCAUCUUGAUAUUCUGGAAUCUCCAUGGUGAAGGACCCUCAGUCUGUGAACAAAAUGCAGAGCGAACCUCAGAUGCCUUUUGACGAAAUCAAAUCAUCCAGUCAGAAACACAGACUGUUGCAGCAGUUGUUACCAUAUUGACCCCAGUCAAACCUAAGAAGCUCAGAGAUAAAUACUGAUUUAGUUCUGCUAGUCUCUACAUACAGCCUGGUUUGGUCAGCACUUACUCUGACUCUUUGAAUAUUAUGACGGAUGGAAAUGAAUGACCUUGUUCAGAUCGAAAUGGCAGAAUGACACAUCACAAGAAUUCAAGCGGAAAGCCAGAAAGUCAUGUCAACAGCCACAUUUUGUAUGUCACCAGCCAAGUUGUAUUCAAAGACAAACAAUAUUUAUGCUCUAUUGUGUAUGUGACCAGCCAAGUUGUAUUCAAAGAAAAACAAUAGUU